rnacentral:rRNA from 1 species
UACAGAGGGUGCAAGCGUUAAUCGGAAUUACUGGGCGUAAAGCGUGCGCAGGCGGAUCUUUAAGUCAGGGGUGAAAUCCCGGAGCUCAACUCCGGAACUGCCUUUGAUACUGAGGGUCUCGAGUUCGGGAGAGGUGAGUGGAACUGCGAGUGUAGAGGUGAAAUUCGUAGAUAUUCGCAAGAACACCAGUGGCGAAGGCGGCUCACUGGCCCGAUACUGACGCUGAGGUGCGAAAGCGUGGGGAGCAAACAGG